GUGCCAGCAGCCGCGGUAACACGUAGGGGGCAAGCGUUGUCCGGAAUGAUUGGGCGUAAAGGGCGCGCAGGCGGCCUCUUAAGCCUGAUGUGAAAGCCCACGGCUUAACCGUGGAGGGACAUUGGAAACUGGGGGGCUUGAGUGCAGGAGAGGGGAGUGGAAUUCCACGUGUAGCGGUGAAAUGCGUAGAGAUGUGGAGGAACACCAGUGGCGAAGGCGGCUCUCUGGCCUGUGACUGACGCUGAGGCGCGAAAGCGUGGGGAGCGAACAGGAUUAGAUACCCUGGUAGUCCACGCCCCCAAAAAGGGGUGCUAGGUGUUAGGGGGGGAGCACCCCUUAGUGCUGAAAGUCAACACAAUAAGCACUCCGCCUGGGGAGUACGACCGCAAGGUUGAAACUCAAAGGAAUUGACGGGGGCCCGCACAAGCAGUGGAGCAUGUGGUUUAAUUCGAAGCAACGCGAAGAACCUUACCAGGUCUUGACAUCCCUCUGACGGGUUCAGGGAUGGACCGUUCCUUCGGGACAGAGGAGACAGGUGGUGCAUGGUUGUCGUCAGCUCGUGUCGUGAGAUGUUGGGUUAAGUCCCGCAACGAGCGCAACCCUUGACCUUUGUUGCCAGCAUUAAGUUGGGCACUCAGAGGUGACUGCCGGUGACAAACCGGAGGAAGGUGGGGAUGACGUCAAAUCAUCAUGCCCCUGAUGACCUGGGCGACACACGUGCUACAAUGGGCGGUACAGAGGGCAGCGAAGCCGCGAGGCGGAGCGAAUCCCAGAAGGCCGCUCUCAGUUCGGAUUGCAGGCUGCAACUCGCCUGCAUGAAGGAGGAAUUGCUAGUAAUCGCGGAUCAGCAUGCCGCGGUGAAUACGUUCCCGGGCCUUGCACACCCCGCCC
rnacentral:rRNA from 1 species